GGCGGCACCGUUCUAAGUUCCUUGGAACAGGGCGUCAUAGAGGGUGAGAAUCCCGUACGUGACCGGUGGCCAAGCCCAUGUGAAGCUCCUUCGACGAGUCGAGUUGUUUGGGAAUGCAGCUCAAAAUGGGUGGUAAAUUUCAUCUAAAGCUAAAUACCGGCCAGAGACCGAUAGCGCACAAGUAGAGUGAUCGAAAGAUGAAAAGCACUUUGGAAAGAGAGUUAAAAAGUACGUGAAAUUGUUGAAAGGGAAGCGCUUGCAGCCAGACUUGUCCGGGGGUGAUCAACCGUCCUUCGGGGCGGUGCACUCUCCCCCGGCCAGGCCAGCAUCGGUUUGGGCGGCUGGACAAAGGCCCGGGGAAUGUAGCUCGCCCCGGUGAGUAUUAUAGCCCCGGGUGCAAUGCAGCCAGCCUGGAUCGAGGACCGCGCUUCGGCUAGGAUGCUGGCGUAAUGGCUGUCAGCGACCCGUCUUGAAACACGGACCAAGGAGUCGACCAAUUGAGCGAGUGUUAGGGUGUCAAACUCUUGCGCGUAAUGAAAGUGAACGGAGGUGAGACGCCGCAAGGCCGCAUCAUCGACCGAUCCUGAUGUCUUCGGAUGGAUUUGAGUAUGAGCUUAACUGGUCGGACCCGAAAGGUAUGUAUUUACCCCCUAAUUUUCCCACCAACCCUUUGCUAACUCUGUGAAAUAGAUGGUGAUCUAUGCGUGAAUAGGGUGAAGUCAGAAGAAAUUCUGAUGGAGGCUCGCAGCGGUUCUGACGUGCAAAUCGAUCGUCAAAUUUGCGCAUAGGGGCGAAAGACUAAUCGAACCAUCUAGUAGCUGGUUCCUGCCGAAGUUUCCCUCAGGAUAGCAGUAACGUUUUCAGUUUUAUGAGGUAAAGCGAAUGAUUAGGGGCCUGGGGGAAGUAAAUUCCUUCACCCAUUCUCAAACUUUAAAUAUGUAAGAAGUCCUUGUUACUUAGUUGAACGUGGACAUUUGAAUGC
rnacentral:rRNA from 1 species